UAAAGGGCAUUUUAUGAUUCUCUAUUUCUUAUUUUGUUACUCAGCUUCAUAAACUAAAUAUUUUAUUAUCAAAGAACCACAAGUCUUUGGUGAGGAAAGAGGUAAACUUACCUGUAUGUAUUUUCGUAUGUAUUUCUGACACAUUUGUACUGAUCUUCGUUGUUCUUAUUGAAUAGGUAGAGAGAUUGGCCAACAAUGUAUUAGCUAGAGUUUUGCCAGGACAGCUUAAAAGCUCCAGAUAAGCCAGGCUUGGAGAGACUGGUAAGGCUUUUUGGGUUUUGUUAUCAUUUGUUUGUUUUCCCUUCCAUUUGUUGAGGUACAAAAAUCAGAACCAGAAGAUCAAGGAAGGGUUGAGCUUUCUGCUUGAGAGCUGUGAUGUUGAUGAACGACAAGCAGAAAGUGGACCCCAUCAUCUCUCACUUUGGUUCUUGGUCUCCUCGAGGGGAGCACUCUCCAGACAUAGGCCAGAAGAAGCAAAAGCCCCAAAUGGUGAAGGCUUUGUAAGGAAAGACUUAUUUAAUCUAAGCACGUUCAAGCCUCUGUUCUAGGACAAAUUAGAUCCCUGGGUACCAAAAGAACUUGAUAAUUAUAUCACCAUAUUGAGCAUAUCAGUCCAAGCAACUGUGGGAAAGUGGGCUGAUGCCAGAAGCUGAAAACGCACUUGUGCUUUUUAAAGAAGGUGGAUUUCACGCAUUACUCAGAGUGAGGUUAAUCCUAGGCAGAGUUCUAGAGACAAUUUUUAAACCGCUGGUCAGGAAAAGUGAAUGAACAAGUUAUAAUGUGUUAACUUUAUUUUGUUCUCUACUAGGUUUCUGGCUUGAGGAAGGACAUGUGGUGGAAUUAGUGGGCAGGCAUUUGACCAGGCCUUUCAACAUUUAAUUUGUAGACAAGAAAGGAAAGUAUGGGCUAUCUCUUAGUUACUAGAAUUAGACUGUUGAAUGGCUAUAAUAAAAGAAUCAACCAAGGGUGCUAGCACGAGACCAAAACUCUCCUCAUCCUCCCACACUGAUCUCCAGGUAGAAGAUGUCAGGAGGCAAGCUUCUGAUAGUAAGACAGUCCUCAUACCCCACAGGUCAGUAAGGAAGUCACGUCCAGUCUGGAGCCACAGUUAGAUCAGACGUGCUGACUGACAAAGGUAGUGGUGGAUGAUGCUGGACCAGUCAUCUCAGGUGGACCUGAGGUCCUGCAGAACAGAGAUGAUGCUGGACCAGUCAUCUCAGGCGGACCUGAGGUCCUGCAGAACAGAGAUGAUGCUGGACCAGUCAUCUCAGGCGGACCUGAGGUCCUGCAGAACAGAGAUGAUGCUGGACCAGUCAUCUCAGGCGGACCUGAGGUCCUGCAGAACAGAGAUGAUGCUGGACCAGUCAUCUCAGGCGGACCUGAGGUCCUGCAGAACAGAGAUGAUGCUGGACCAGUCAUCUCAGGCGGACCUGAGGUCCUGCAGAACAGACUAGUUUAAUCCCUGGUGUCACCGCCUGUAGGGGAGAAGAGUGCAGUCUUGCCUUUUAACUGACUCCACGUAACCUAUUCAGGACUUUUAUGUCUGUAUGUGACAUCUGGAGAGACUGCUCAUCCCAAUUCAGGCAUCCGGAAAACUACUUUGCUGUGUUAAGCGCUAUUUUUCUUAAAAAUGGGCAAAUUUCCAGCGUAUAGCAAGGACAGGCUUAGUGCCACAGCCGAAAUAAUUGUUGCUGCAUUAAAAGCUUUGCAAGUGAGACUGUCAGUGCAGAGGUUGGUGAGUGGAUGACGUCAGCAGUGCUGGAGGGAGUUUCUAGCGUCAUGUUGCAGGUGUCUGUUCUCAUGCAGAAAGCCUGUGAGUGGUUGAAUUGGUUUGGAAGGUGUGUGUAUCAAAUCUAGACAAGGGCCUGUCAGAUACGUCAGGUGCUAGAAUUCAGAUCCCAACAGAUCUCAGCACCAAAUCAACCACAGAAAGUUUCAUUAAUCAGUUUUAAUAUAUGAGUGUUUUGAAUCAGUACAGAGUAAGAAUCACAUAGGUGGCAACAGCAUGUGUUUAAUGAAGAAAUGAGCUUACAUGUGUUAUUUGGUUGAGUCCACAAUGCUGUCAUGCCCCCAAAUAACUCCUUCCACUGUGGUGACCAAGGGAGGCCGUCGUCUUGCUUUCUGGCUGCUGUUUGGAUCACGUGGGUAUUGUGUACAGUUGUCCAGUCCCUAUGUCGUUUUGUUUUGCUUAAUGAAUAUCACAUCAAUUUAAUGUGUCCACACUGGGCAAAACUGACUUGAGGAGUGUGAGAGUAAUAAAAACAGGAUAUAUUCCAGAAUGAUCAUCUGGUAAGAACAUGCCCUGGAAGCUAUAGUUAUAAUAUCCUCGAACAGAUUACACUGGUUAUUUAUACACUCUUUAGACUUCUUAGUGCUCAACAAUUGAUGAAAUACCAUUUCUGGGGAGUCAUGCUUAUGUUUAAUUUUCAGUAAGGACUGGCCACAGUUCUAUUUAUUUCUACUAAAAACAUCUCCUUGGCAAGGAAAAUGCCCUUUCCAUUUUCCUGCUUGUGUGUGCGUGUGUCUGUAUGUACGUGCACAUGCACGUGAGGAUGUGUUUUUCCUGCUUGUAUAUGUGUGUGCACACACAUCAGCAUGUUUUUCCUGCGUGUAUAUGCAUGUGCAUGCACAUCAGCAUGUGUGCUUUUCCUGCAUGUGUGUACACAAACAUGCAUGUGAACCUGUUUUUCCUGUGUGUAUAUGUGUGUGUACGCACAUGAGCAUGUUUUUCCUGCAUGUUUAUGUGUGUGUACGCACAUGAGCAUGUGUUUUUCCUCUGUGUGUGUACGCACAUGAGCAUGUGUGUUUUUCCUGCAUGUUUGUGUGUGUACGCACGUGAGCAUGUGUUUUUCCUGCGUGUUUAUGUGUGUGUACGCACGUGAGCAUGUUUUUCCUGUAUAUGUGUAUGCACAUGAGCAUGUGUUUUUCCUGCAUGUUUGUGUGUGUACGCACGUGAGCAUGUGUUUUUCCUGUAUGUGUGUACACACGUGAGCAUGUGUGUUUUUCCUGUGUGUAUAUGUGUGCGCACGCACAUGAGCAUGUUUUUCUUGUGUGUUUAUUUAUGUGUACGCACGUGAGCAUGUGUUUUUCCUGCAUGUUUGUGUGUAUGCACAUGAGCAUGUGUGUUUUUCCUGUGUGUAUAUGUGUGUGCAUGCACAUGAGCAUGUUUUUCCUGCGUGUUUGUGGGUGUGUAUGCACGUGAGCAUGUGUGUUUUUCCUGUGUGUAUAUGUGUGCACACACAUGAUCAUGUGUGUUUUUCCUGUGUGUUUGUGUGUGCACACACGUGAGCAUGUGUUUUUCCUGUGUGUAUGUGUGUACGCACGUGAGCAUGUGUUUUUCCUGUGUGUAUAUGUGUGUGCACGCACAUGAGCAUGUGUUUUUCCUGCAUAUGUGUGCACACAUGUGAGCAUGUGUGUGUUUUACCCUAUUAUUCCAUAUCUCUUUCCUUGCUCUUUUUUUUAAGUGUUAAAGACUUUUACUUUCAGACUAUUUUAGAGGAGUCAUUUCAUUAAACCUUUUGGAAUCCCACUGAAGCCGCAGGGCCCAAGGUUAAGCUGUGCUCUUCCCUUAGGAAUUGACAGUCGUGGCGACUGCUGUCUUUAGUACAUUACCAGGAAGUUUCCAAGUGGCAGUUCUACAAGAUGAGCCCUUGAAGAAGCCAAUCCUGUUUUCUAUCUUUUGCUUUCAACAUACGAGGUGAACUUUUACCUUUCUCCAUUUAAUAUAAACCAAAAUCCGUCUUUUAAAAAAAUGUUUAUUUUUAACUUUUAUUUUAGAUUCAGGGGUACAUGUGCAGGCUUGUUAUAUAGAUAAACUCAUGUCACAGGGGGUUGGUGUACAGAUUAUUUCUUCACCAAGGUACUAAGCAUAGUACCCAAUAGGUAUUUUUUCUGAUCCUUUUCCUCCUCCCAGCCUCCACCUUCAAGUAGGUCCUAGUGUCUGUUGUUCCUCUCUUUGUGUCCAUGUAUUCUUACUGUUUAGCUCCCACUUGUAAGUGAGAACAUGGGUAGUUGGUUUUCUGUUCAUGCAUUAGUUUGCUAAGGAUAACGGCCUCCAGCUCUGUCUAUGUUGUUGCAAAGGACACGAUCUUUCUUUUUUAUGACUGCAUAGUAUACUCUGAAAGGGGAGAGUGUUGGGAGGAGAGUGAGCUUGUGUCAAAGGAGCUCCAGGUCAUGCUCUGCCCGCAGAGUUCAAGAAAUAAAAUGUCACCCUAAGGAAAGGCAGGCAGGCUGUGAGAACAUGGGCACGAUCUGCAGGUAUUUGAAGACUUGCCACGGCAAAGAGGAAUUACACUUUGGCCAACCGCAGUGAGAGACUGUGGCUGCUCUCCAAAUGACCUGAGGGUGGGGGAGCAGCAUUUCCCAAACUUGACACCCCUGGGUAACAACUUUUGUUGAAGAGAGUGUCUUACCUUGCGGGGAUGUUGGGCAAUGGAAAGAAAAUAAAAAAAACCCCAAAGUCAAAUUCUUCUUUUAGACUUGAUACUGUUUGGUUAGUUUAAGUCCAUGGUGUUCCGUCUGUGAGCUUUGGCCCCAGGUUAGUCACGUCCAUCUUCUGUCCUACUUGGGUGUCAUCGCCACAUCCCCUGUGCCUUAUCUGUACUCAGUCUCGCACCUCUGCAGGGCAUCUACCCUCUGGUGCUGGAGUGUCCACGCACUGUCCCAUCUUAACGUGCAUAGCUGCCCUGAAUAUGCCCCUGUGUUUCUUCUGCUUUUUCCUCCUUUCUUACAUGUAAUACAUUUGCAUGGAUAAUUACUUCAUGAUGCUAACUUUGGUUUGCCCUCUGUUCCUCCCCACCUCCACCCCAUACAUCCUUCAUAAAUUUUCUUUGAUCAUAUUAAGGCGGCGGUCCCCAGGGACCGGUUUUGUGGAAGACGAUUUUUCCACAGACCAGCGGUGUUGGUGGGGGCAGGGAUGGUUUUAGGGUGAAACUGAUCUGCCUCAGAUUAUCAGGCGUUAGUUAGAUUCUCAUCCCGUAAGGAGUGCACAACCUGGAUUCCUCGCAUGCACAAUUCACAGUAGGGUUCACAGUCCUGUGAGAAUCUAAUGCCGCUGCUGAUCUGACAGGAGGCUGAACUCAGGUGUUAAUGACCACUUGCCUGCUGCUCACCUCCCACUGUGCAGCCCAGCUCCUAACAAGCCACAGAUCAGUACUGGUCCGCAGCCCACACAUUGGUGACCCCUGUAUUAAGGGAUCUUUUACUCCACCUACCCAAGAAUGAAAAGGUGCUUCCCGGACUCUACUCUUUCUUAUCAGGGCAGCAGGCAUGUGGACCCACAGUACAGUUCGUCAUUUCAGACAGAGGAACAUGCUGCACGUGGAUGAGGCAGUUCUGUUUUUAUCCCUGGUUUUUAUACCUGAAACUGUGUCACAUUUUAUGUGCAUAGUGGUUGUCCUCUGAGAUUCCACCUGCAAGUUGCCAUUGAAACUCCUACUUCUGCUUCUGACUUGCAGCAGCUCUGGGAAGCUGUGGCUUUCAUACUUCCCCUGCUGGCCCUAUGGCUCGCCCAUUCCCACAAGUACCCAGAUGAUUGUCUUUGUCAAAAACAAGAGUAGGGAAACAGAUACCAAUGGCAACAGCUUCUGUUCACCAAGUGCUUAUAGAAGUUGAAUACUUCACACGUGGAUUCUCACUCCGGCUUCCCAGUUAGAGAAGAUGCAUGUAGUAAAAUGCUUUCAUUACAUACAGGAGAAAACUGAAGAUAGAGUGCUCCAAGAAUUUCCCAAGGCCACACAUAGGAUAAGGACCCCAGGAGAUGUGUUGGGCCCCUCCUUCCAUACCCCACCUCCAGACGGACACCGAUUUUAGCCUGGGUUCAAACUGCAUCAGCUUGUACCCCACUGGGGAGCACAGAGAGGUUGCAGCUGGAACAAUUCCCAGCUUAGGGCCCUGAUCCUACUUUCGACUUAACUGGAGGCUUGGUCCUUUCCGAGGGUCCACCACCCCAGCCAGGUCCUCUAGGCAUCCUCUGUGGCGGGGUCUCCCUUUCCAGGUAGUGAGGAGGGGCCUUUUCAUCUCAAAAGCUAGCUUUUCAAGGGGAUUUCUUCCAGCAGAGCUGUGGGGCCCAUAGAGGCUUGUGGGAGGCUUCCCACAUCUUAAUCACUCGGGUUUUCACCACAGAACUCCAUGUCCCUUCCUAGUCAUCCUUCUGUGUGGAUCCUGGUCCAUGAGCCGGGCCCUGUACACACCUGCAGCCCACUUGUGGGCUGAGUUCAGGUCCUCUUCCACCCAGCCCUCUGGCCUGCAGAUCCCCUGGGCACCUCUCAGCACUAGAGAUGGCCAGCAAUAGCUCUGAUGGCCUCCAGGGGGCAGCCUUGCCUAACCCUGUGGCUGCCAGACCUGCUUCUGUUUCUCAGUAGAAUCCAGACUGCUGUGAACUUCCAUAGGACACAACUCUCUUGCUGCUGGGCAAAGAUUUAUCUUUUUAUUAUAAAUUUGCAGCAUGCCCAGAAGUACAAUUUUUCCUCUUAGGAGUUUAUGGUAAGAAUUUUAUAGGCAUCCUAGAGGUUUUUUCUCGUUGCUUUAUUCAGGGAUAUUUUAGGCAUCAUGUACACCAUUUUAAAAACUUAAAAACAGACUUUCCUUGAGUGAUGUUUCAUUAUGAUGUGUGCCCAUUCAUCCCCAGUUGAUAUUAGAAGUGACCUUUAUCUAAGACUUUUUUCUCCAAAUUGAAUGAGAAUAUUUCCUGUAGGACCAGACAGAAAAAUUCCGAAGGGGCAAAUAUUUUAAAUGGUUAAAAUGUAGCCUUGCUCCUUCUGCCUCAUUUAGUUUGGUCCUUUUUUAAUGUCAUGAUCCCAGGAUCAGUUCCUUCACGGUCUCCUCAGUACCCGCGCUGGUUUCACCAGCCAGCGGGAGGAUGAGCACAUCCAGUGUGCGGUAAAAUAUCCAGGAUGUUGCGGGGAAUACGCUAGUUUUUGGGUUUUUUUUUUUUUAACUACCAGGUGGAAGGGAAAACGUUUGACCCCUAAAGAUUCAUGGCGCUUCCCCUAGAAUUGAGAGGAAGUGAUUUCUAUAGACUCUAACAGACUAAUUCUAGCACGUUUUCCUCAUACUGUACUAUUUUUAGGAGUAAAAAGAUUUAAAUGUGGGAUGAUGUUAAGUUUACUAGACCAAGUGACAUAUUUUGAACAAUUGGUAGGAACCCGAAUGUGUUUUGAAAAAUAUCUAGAGAAGGAAGAUUUUAAAACUGUGAUCUUUCUUAUUAUUAGAAGAGUUUUUCUUAGAACAAAAACAGUAACAGUGGCUAGCAUUUACUUAUUUCUUCACUCUGCAUUGUCUUCUCAUUGAAACUUCUAAGCAACUUUUUUUUUUUUUUUUUUUUUGAGACUGAGUC